rnacentral:other from 1 species
GGACUUCUGCGAAGUUAGUGUGCGGUGGCAAUUCAAUUUGAGCCAAUUCAUUUGAAUGGGAGACCGAUGCGUAAUUUUGACGGCGUGCAAGCUCGCCAUAGUCGCGAGUAUCUAAGCCGCAAAGCUCAGGUCACCCACCUGUUGCGAACAGGUUCAAAUGAAGCCCCGGCCACGGCUGAGCGGAAGUCCU